CCCUGCUGUCCCCCCCACCGAGCCCGGCGGCAGCGCGGGGCUGGGCCCCACGCGUGGGAAGCCCCGGCUCUUCGCCGCUCGGGGGGGUCGGGACAUCACGGGCACCAGGUGCUUCCCGAGGGGCAUCACCCACCCGCAGCCCCUCGGCUGCUGCAGCCACAUGUGCGGUCCCUCUCGAGGAGCAGCAUCCUGACAGCAGUGGCCUAAAAAAAGAAAGGACAAGAGGUUUCUCAGCUGCUGGCCCACGACUGGACGUACUCCUGCAGGAAAUGAAUCAGCUCAGCCUCAUCACCGAACUCUUCAUCAUUUUACAAAAUUCCUGGUGCCAAUAAACCCUGCCAGACCGUCGGUCA